UACGUAGGGGGCAAGCGUUGUCCGGAAUCAUUGGGCGUAAAGGGCUUGUAGGCGGUCCGUUAAGUCCGCUCUGAAAGCCCGGGGCUCAACCCCGGGAGGCGGGCGGAUACUGUCGGGCUAGAGUCCGGAAGAGGCAAGUGGAAUUCCUGGUGUAGCGGUGAAAUGCGCAGAUAUCAGGAGGAACACCGAUGGCGAAGGCAGCUUGCUGGGACGGUACUGACGCUGAGACGCGAAAGCGUGGGGAGCAAACAGG
rnacentral:rRNA from 1 species